CUCUCUGUCCCCCCUUUUUUUUAAAUAAUAUUAUUCUAAGCUGGCAUGAAAAGUGAUUAUCCGCGCUGUGAUUGGUCCGGUUAUCUGACCCGGGGACUGCCAGGAGAAGACAAUAGUUUUAGUCAAAUUAUUUGCCAUGGUGACGCUGUCAAUCAGGGGUAACCCGAUCUGUUUUGAGGUGGCUCCCCGGCUGGGUUGACAGAUUGCUCAGAUCCACUCAGAGGCGGCCCUGCGAGCUGAGAUAUUAGCUAGCGAGGGAGAAAUUUCCGCCGUGAUUGACGCUGCAGGCGCCCGUCGGGGGAGAGGGGGAGCGCCGGAGCACGGAGCCCGGGCCCCGGCCUCUCGCCGCAGGGUGCUGCGGCGCGGCGGGACGGAGCCGCCGCUCCGUCCGGGCCCCGCCGCCCCGUCUGGAUCCCGCGGCUCCAUCCCGGCCCCGCCGCCCCGGACCGCGGGCUCUGCCAUCCCCGGCACCCGCGGCUGCGGUGGGGAGAAAAAACCCGCUUCCGGCCCUUGCAGAAGGUUUCUUUCUAAAUGCGUUAGCUUACCCCUCCUCCCCAGCGCCCAGUAACAACUGUCGGAGAGUUUUAUAGGGAAGCGGCCUCUCAUAUACAAUAGAGACCCUGUUCCUGACCUGGGAUCCCAUUACACGCUGAUCGUACCUGCCCGGGAGCUAGGUGGAGGCAUGGUGAUACAGGACUGGGGAAAGACUGCCUCUCCAUUAAUGGCCGGCCGUGUCCCACCACGCUCCGGUGCGCAUGGCGCUGGCGUUUGUGAUGACUGGACGCCGGGCAUUUAUUUCUACUUGAUUUCCUGGAGCGUGUCGGGGUGUUUCAUCCAGGAGAGGAACACGUGUAAAAGUCAGAGACACUUCGCGUGAUUAAGCGGACGCUUAUCACCCACGCGUGCCCAUUACACACCGCGUUUUAAGUUUACUGACCCUGCGGAGCAGGGACCCGUAUCGUUUCCCGUCCUUUUCGGUCUACACUUUUUUUUCUGUAGACCGAAAGGCGAGGGAGACAGAUUGUGCAAGCUGGAGGUCGGGGAGGAUGAACGGGUGAGACGAGCGAGAGGAGGGCGAUGCGGUGCCUCCACGGGAGCGGCCCGCAGGCUGUGCGGGCGGACGGGACCGCCGGAGCGGCGGCGGGCGCCAGGCCUCGCCCAGGUGAAGGCACUCGGGAGGAGCCUACCGGCCCCAAACUCAGGGCCGUUUCCAUGGCCCUUAAUGUUCCCCUUUUGCGCAGAAAUAAUAAUUAAUCCCACGCGCUCCUUCUACGCCAUUUGCAGCCCUGACAGGAGAGGUCUCUGCAAUUGUGGGCUCCUGCCACGGUACCGUUUUAGCCGCCCAGGCGCGUCAGGGAUUUAGCGAAGCCACAAGUGACCGGGCUGCGGCUCCCCGCCUCGCAGCCUGACCCUCCACGGCCGAUGGACGGAGCCUCCGUGCCGGCCCGGGCAGGCGUAGCGGCCGCCCAAGGGGAAGGCGAAGCCGGGGCGGCGGCGCGCAGCCCGGCGGCUCCCGGCGGCGGCGGCGGCUCCCGGCGAGGAGCCGCGCCAGGAGUGUGGCCGGGCGAAAUGCGGCAGGGGAGGGAGGCAGGAGGAGGAGGAGGGUGGGGGCAGCGGAUCAGCCCGCGUCCAGCUCCCAGCAUGUCCGGACGCCCGUGCGUAUCCGCCGCCUAUGUCCAUAUUUUCUCGAGCGCGCUCCGCUUUGGAAGCUGCGUGUCCUCCUACCUGUCCGGGCUUUUCCCGAGUGCUGCCAUAAAGAAGCAGUGGAAAGCAGGCGGCUCCCGCCCUGGAUCCCCCGGGGACGCAAAAUAGAGGCUUCCUUUCUAGGGCAAGAGAGAGACGGCUCAAAUUCGUUUAAAACAAAUUCGGCGAUGUUGGUGACGGGUCCCUAAAGCCCCCUUGCAUGAUUCUCCCUCCUUCCCUCCCUUUACAAAACGAGCCCUCGGCCGCUUAGUGCCUCGAUGCCGGCCGACUUCUGCAGGAUUCAAACUGUGCUUGUUUGUAAACGAAAGCAUCUCCAUCUCAGGGCUUCCUAGCCAACCUAAGCGGCUGGAUAGUUCGCAGCCGCAGCUGUAGCGGACGUUCACGGACGGGAGAACCGAUCCACUGCAAACGUUACUCUGAGCAGAAACGGCGAGAGAAGCACAAAUCCCCUCUCCCACCCCCGACCUCUGCGCACACACCGUCUGCCUUUCGCGGAGGAGAAUAUAGCGUCGUUCCGCUCCCUCUCGCGAUGGGGACCGUGGCAAUGGAGAAAAGCGCUAGCGAGGGAGCAGCUGUUCGCCCUAGCCGGAAAGGAGAUGUCAAAACCUGUUGCAUGGACUUAGAUCUGAGAAAGUGUCUUCUUAGCACCCUAAAAUAGCAGGAGGCGCGAAUCGCCUGCUAACGUUUGCCCCCAGUCCGACGGGAACAUUUUGCCUGGCCGCUGCCGGCUCUCUCUGCUCAGUCGCGGUGAAAGGUUUUAUCUGGGCUGACCGAAACUUGUGCACAGCCCCGCUGUCGCCCGGCGGAGAAGCCCGGGGCUUCAUCCCGGCCCCGGCCCCGGGGGUGACUUUGCCGAGGCCCCACUCGGGAAGCGCCUCACCCCUCCGCGCAGUCAUUGCCGCGCACGAAGCAGCGUGCGAGACCGUCAGUGUCAACAGAAUCAUUGUGAAAUAGGAGUGAAAUAAAAAGUCGUUUUAAUCGUAA